rnacentral:rRNA from 1 species
AUGCCAGAUUUUCUCCAUGUCAUCCCAGUUGCUCACAAUGCCAUGCUCAAUAGGGUAUUUCAAGGUCAGGAUACCCCUUUUUGAUUGCGCUUCAUCACCCACAUAGGCAUCUUUUUGGCCCAUUCCAACCAUGACACCUGUGUGCCGAGGGCGGCCAACUAUACUAGGGAAAACUGCUCUUGGGGCAUCAUCACCAGCAAAACCAGCCUACAGGAAUGA